CCAUUUUUCAACACCCUCAACUUGCAUCCAUACAGCCAGCCUUGCUAGAAUCGCCAGUCUUGCUAGAAUUGAAUCAAUCUAUUUAAAUUUUCAAGUUGUUAAGAUCAAAGUUUACUUUCUACUUUCAUGUUGCUACUUGAUCUGAUACAUACUUUUUGCCCUACUUCACAAAGCUUUUAUCUCUGAUGCCAGGAACCAUCCUAGUUUCAGGUUCUAAAGCACUUUAUCUUCUUCACCAUAAUUCAAAACCGGCAGUUAUUUUGAUGCUUGUUUUGUUUCAAUCCAGUUCUGGAAUUCAUGGCUUUUCAAUCAUCAUCCUCCAUCUCACAAAUGUCCUUAAAGAGUAUGCGAUGAGAUCCAAUUAUUUGUCCUGUUUUUGGGAAUUUCUGCUUUUCUUUCUGGAGAAGAGAAUUCUACUGAUGUUCAUAUUUCAUAAUGCAGUUUCCAUGGGCAAAAGAGAGUACCAAACUUGGGACAAGGGGGAUUUCUUUUUGUAACUUAUCCAUUUAUAUUAGUCUGGUUUCUACUCUUUCUUCUGUUUAACAAGUUCAGAAUUUUGCUUAUAUAUCCAAGUUGUGUGCAGUCCAUUAACAACUCUUCGCAACAAUUUGAUAGUUACACUUCAGGAUGCUCAAGGAAAAGAAAUAUCACAUAUUGGUUUUGCUCAAUUCUUUCCCAUUUUGCUUCCAUCUCUAAGUACUGAAGCUGUGAGGCUGAUGAGUGUUGAUCGUGUUUAAUGGCAGUUGUUGAAACCAGGUUGGUGAUUGAGAAAGGCGUUUGGGAUGACAUAUUUCCCUUUGAAGGAGGCGGGCAUGUGCAUAUGAAGUUGCAGUUUGUACUUAAUGAAGAAGACCGCCAGCGUAUCCGGAUCAUGAGAGAAUCAGCAUUGAGAAAGAAGCACGACGAACUUCUCAAUAGUGAACUUAGAAGUCCAACACAUGCUACUACUGUUGGUAGUAAUGUUGCACCAUCUUUAAUGUUCAAUCACGAUGUCUCAGGUUUGAUCUUGCUUUAAGUGAUUAUGAAAAGUUUUUAGCAGAAAGCAGGGGGAAAAAAAAAAAAGUCGUCCUGUUUUGCAUUUUCCUUACCUGCGGAUCUUUUUCUUGAUUUCUGGACUGUUCUAUUUUCUCAAGAUUCACACAGAACCCUUCUUCAACGUGAAGUGAUUGAAGCUGGUUUGAGUUCAAUUGUUUGCUCCAUUCUUUUCAAUAAAGGAAAAUCUGGUCCUAAGGAUGUAGAAGGAACUCAUUUCACUAAUGAUCCUAGCAGGAUCAUUUAUUCAGAAGAAGCUUCAUUUCUGGGGAGCUCAGGAUCGGUAGUUGCUGCAAAGAAUCAAGCCCCUGCAGAACUUAAGGCAGAUGAAGCUAAUGACCCAGAGAAGCGGAGCCCACUGGAGAAAACUCCCGGCAAGAUAAGAAAUAUGAUUAGUGCCUUUGAAAAUAGUCUAAAUCAGGAUAUGAGACCUAACAUAAGACCAGCACCAACAGGAUCCCAGUCAAGUAAGAGGAGAAUGGAUGUUUCUUCUAAAAGUAAACACUACACAGGAGACAUGCAACAAGCCCCAACAUAUAUCAGAAAAAGAGAAGAUCAAAUUGGUUUUGUUAGAGCUCUUGCAGGGUCUACAUCAUCUCGUGAGGCAGGUCAAUCGGAGGAGUUAAGAGCUGGACAUAUUCAUACUAAAGGAACAACAGUAGAAUUGAAGGAUAAAGUUGAAGUUAUGCAUAAAGUUGACACACACAAAGUGAAAAAAACUUCUGAAAAAUUAGAAAGAGCAUCAACAGGUGAAAGAGCUUCUAUCCCGUGGAGAAUGCUUAUUGAAAAAGGUACACGAACAUUGAGUAACUUGUUUGCUGCGAGAAGACAUUCUGGUGACAAUUCCCUCAAACAAAAUAAUGGAAGAGAAAUUCAGCCAAAAUGUAUACAAGAUGUAAACAUUCAAGGUAAUUCAGACGAUGAACCUCAUUCCUCAGAAUGCUAUGGUGCCUGGAUAUUUCCUGAUGGAGGAAAACGCUUGUGCAUCACAACUGGUGGAAAACAAAUAAUGGAUCUAACGGAAAGUUGCCAUGCCGAAGCAAAUAGCGAACUGGGAAAGAUGAGCUAUCCCACAGGAGAAAAUGAGAAAGAGAUUGGUGUGCUUGGUGGCACUGAUAUUCUGGCGAAUGGAGGUGACAAGACUUCUCUAAGUCAAAGACUCAGAGAAUCAGUAACUGAGAGCUCAACAGAUGCUGAAACUUCUAGAGGGCCGGUUGGAGAGGUGAUGAGAGUGUUGAUCAUGGUUGGAUUUGCAACACUAAUUUUCUUCACUAGACAAAGGAAAC
rnacentral:misc_RNA from 1 species